UUGAAAGGGAAACGAUUGAAGUCAGUCAUGCUAGUGAAAAAUCAGUUUGACGGGUUUUGAGUUCUUGAGUAGAGGCAGGGUCAAACCGUUUCUCUUUUGGACUUGGGAUUUGUUAGAUGUACUUUUUCUUUGGCAGGUCAACGUCGGUUUCGGGGGUUGUAAAAUACUUGGGGGAAAGUAGCUCUGCUUCGGGAGAGUGUUAUAGACCCUGGGAGAUGCAGCCUGUGGGAUCGAGGAUUGCAGCAAAUGCCUUUUGGCUUGUCGCCUGUUCCUGGGUGUUACCUAUCUUGUGACAACAUUCUUGCCACCGGGGAGUACUAAUGCCUACUGUUUAGAGCGAUCGAAAAUUUCGUUAAGGAUGUUGACGUA
rnacentral:rRNA from 1 species